rnacentral:rRNA from 1 species
ACGGGAGGCAGCAGUGGGGAAUAUUGGGCAAUGGGCGCAAGCCUGACCCAGCGACGCCGCGUGAGGGAAGAAGGUCUUCGGAUUGUAAACCUCUUUCAGCAGGGAAGACCAAGAGACGGUACCUGCAGAAGAAGUCACGGCUAACUACGUGCCAGCAGCCGCGGUAAUACGUAGGUGGCGAGCGUUAUCCGGAAUUACUGGUGUAAAGGGUGUGUAGGCGGAGAGGCAAGUCAGGCGUGAAACUUAUGGGCUCAACCCAUAAAUUGCGCUUGAACCUGUUUCCCUUGAGUGUGGGAGAGGUAAACGGAAUUCCUGGUGUAGUAGUGAAAUGCGUAGAUAUCAGGAGGAACACCGGUGGCGAAGGCGGUUUACUGGACCACAACUGACGCUGAGACACGAAAGCGUGGGGAGCAAACAGGAUUAGAUACCCUGGUA